rnacentral:rRNA from 1 species
GUUGUAUGGUUAAGUGACUAAGCGUACAGGGCGGAUGCCUUGGCAAUCAGAGGCGAAGAAGGACGUGCUAAUCUGCGAAAAGCUUGGAUGAGUCGAUAAGAGGCGUUUAAUCCAAGAUGUCCGAAUGGGGAAACCCGAUAGAUGAAGAAUCUAUCAUUUCAUUGUGAAUCAAUAGCGAUGAAAGGCAAACCGGGAGAACUGAAACAUCUAAGUACCCCGAGGAAAAGAAAUCAACCGAGAUUCCGUGAGUAGCGGCGAGCGAAAGUGGAGUAGCCAGUAAGUGAUAGCGACAGAGAUAGAGGAAUUGGUUGGGAAGCCAAAUCAAAGAGGGUGAUAAUCCCGUACUCGAAAUCCAGGUUGUGGUACUAAGCUUACGAUAAGUAGGGCGGGACACGUGAUAUCCUGUCUGAAGAUGGGGGGACCAUCCUCCAAGGCUAAAUACUCCUGAUUGACCGAUAGUGAACCAGUACUGUGAAGGAAAGGCGAAAAGAACCGGGGUGACCGGAGUGAAAUAGAACCUGAAACCCUGUACGUACAAGCAGUGGGAGCCC